AUCACUUAAUCCCCACUUCACCCUAAUUGUGAAGGCUUAGGUGGGACUUGAAUGGUGCUAGUUCUCUGCAGAGGGGUAAAUUUCUCCCUGACUGAAUGAUGCCCAACUAGAGACUGCAGGAUUUGGCUUUCAGUGCCACUUAAGUGUUCAGGCCCGUUUAAAGAGUUCUGGUGUUUUACAUGGUUAUCUCGCAGUAAAGACUUCCAUCAUCUGAAGUGCUUAUGCACCUAGAGGUUUUAUACUAAUUCAAGACUUCAGAAGGAUUUGAAUCAGUUUUAACUGUAAUGAUGUGGUAUGGUAAUUACAAAGCACUCAUGCAAAUCCUAGGAAUUAAACUAGCUUAGGUGCUUAUGAUACAUUAAGAAUUUAUACUUCUUAUGACCUUGUGACUCCUUCUCGCCUGAUACCUUGGGGAACUGAAUACCAAAAGCCCAGAGCCUUGUGUAACAGUCACACCUGAGAAGGAUACAGAUUUGCUGGGACAAUCUGUACAUACUUCACCUAAUCGGGACUUAGGAGUAUUCCUUUUUUUACUUGAUUGUGGCCUGGACUUCAGUUUACUGAAGAUCGAAACUACUGAUUUAACUUAAGUCUUUGGGCUUCACAAAGGUCAUCAGGGUGAAAUUAAACGGUAUAGAUACGGAAGAGUCAGAGUAAAAGAGAGGGUACAGGCGACAGCAUGCUCCAGCUGUAUCCCAUCACACCGUGUGUGGUACACCUGCCAAAGCCAGUGGUCAUUUGAUCCUUGGUCAUGACCUUGCCUAAAAGGGGAAGAUGUUGAUGUUGAGCUCUGUGUGUUUGCAGUCCUCAACAGGAAGAGUAAAUUUUGUCAUUGCUGACUCCUAGGGGCCAGUUGUUUGCCUUUGUAGCUAAUCCCUGGGUAGCUCUAAACCUACACAGUUUGGUCUAAUUUCAGAGAAUGGACUUAAAUCCUAUAGUUCAAGUUUUGGGGAUAUGUGUUUCUUAGGCUCCAGGGGAUUUGCAUUUUAAGUCCGUUACUGCAGAAAACAUAAUGCAGCUUAUCACUCCAAUUGUGCUGCAGGAUCAAAAGUUAUUUGGGGCAUAAGACCAGCAUGUAACCACACCAGUUUUAUGCCAUGCUUACACCUCUCGGGAGGUGAAUACCGGGAUCAGAACGACUACACAAUCGAGGUAGGGAAACAGGAAGGUUUCUAGAAAGGAGCAGGUUGCAGCCAGAGAGGUAAAUUACUACAGGGAAGAUAGGGGGUGUGAGCACAGAAAGUUAAAGUUGGAACUGAUUAGGUGAUUAUAUAUCAAAAUUGCAUGGCUAGGUCAAAUAAAUAUGAGAAGUAUAAUUUGUGAAGAAAAUAUGUGGACUUUGACAUAUAAUCACUACUAAAACAGGAUGCUAUAAGGAAAACUUGGGGAUAAUGUGGUAGAAGUUGCUACCCAGUAGCUGAGUGUGUGAAUCUGCAGAAGGGCACCUUUUCCAUGCCGGCUCGUUAGGUGGAAUCUCUCAGUGAGUAACCUUGGUAGCAUCGAUCCACACAAAGAGAUACGACAUCGUAUCUGCUGUGCUGUAAAUGUAUACCCAUCUGCACAGUUACUUCCCCUUGCAGACAAGCCUUUUGUUAUAAAUUAUGCAGCUAAACAGUUGCCAUACAGAGAGGGUGUAGCAAUAGGAGGAAGGUUUUAUAGCGCAGAGAGCAUCGGCCAGAAUUCAGAACUGAGGGGAGCAGACGAUGCUGGUGCUGUCUGUGCGCAGGAACCUGAGGCCACGAGAGUGCAACUGUUGCAGCAGCAUUCUCUUGGCAGUUACAGGAUCAGAAGAAUGACAUUGGGUGUGUAAUCUAGAGAAAGAAAAGUAUUGACCGGGUUUGUUCUGAGAGUAUGGAUGGGUAUACUUUUGAGAGGUUUAAUGUGUGAUGACAGCAAAUUUUUUUCAGGCUAUUUCUUCAUUGUGCCAGUUCACUGGCAAAAAAUAUGAACUAAUUUUGUUCAUGUGACAAAUGUAGCACAUUAUCAUUACGGGAACGUGAGGAUAGCAAAGGCUAAACCUUUUAAUUAAUAAAUUAUCUUAGAAAAGGAUUUUCUGUCAACAUAUUUAAAGUAUUUAUUAUGUUUUAGUUGAAAGAAUUUGUUCAUCUCUAAUAAUUUUAGCCACCCCUUAGCUGCCUGGUUAGGAGUCCAUCAUUUGUUUGGUCAUAUGAAGGUUUUUAAAUAAGGCUCAGAGCUGGACCUUUUAAAAAAAAAAAAAACCAAAAAACC